UGCCUCUGCCUCUGCUUUUGCUUCUGAUGCUUCAGCGGCUGCGGCAGCUGCUUCUGCGUCCGCCUCUGAUGCCUCUGCUGCUGCUGCUGCUGCUUCUGCGGCAGCUGCUUCUGCGGUGGCCUCCUCCAACGCUACUGUUAAUGCUGUGGUCGCUGCUGCGGUCACUGCGGCUUUCGCUGCCGUUACUGCUACUGCUGACCACAAAGGCAGUGAACCAACUCCUCAGAGGCACAGUGGGGCUACUAACCACAAGGAUUUUGCUCUUAAGGCAAAAGAAGAAUAUGAUAAGAGUGAACCUGCCACACAUUUGAUGGAAACGAACAGAAGUGAAAGUAAAAGCUAUUUUCCUGGAGAUUCCAUGCCAAUGUUUGACAAGUGUGCUGCAGACACAAGUGCUAUGCUACAGGAGAAACAGAGCUGUGCUCACCAACUCCAUCAGGAUGGACAAAGGUAACAAGGAUAUGUUUUGUUCCCUGUAAAGGAGUAUUAACAGCCAGUAGUCACUCAAAGCAGAGGGACACUCAACUGUACCAGUGCUGCUGGAAGGCUGAGAGAGAUUGGGACUGACUAACAAGUACUCUUCAUGGAUGCCCCGUAGCUCGGAGAGUGUUUACUCA
ensembl:processed_transcript